GUUUUAGGCAGGUGUCAGGAAGGAGAGAGAAUUGGAGUUUGGUGGUGUGUUGCUGAGAGCUGAAAGACCAGAAAACCAGAGGAAGGGAGACUCCUUCUCCAGCGUCAAGGACUGAGGGUAACCCUACCCAGAGGGCUGAUCAUUGGCAAUGCUCAAAGUUGCUCAAGCAAUCAAAAUGCAACAUGGAAAUCUCGGCCUUCCAGACUAAAUUCAACCCAUGCUGAGGUUCCCAGGGUGGAUUUCUUCAAGUUGUCUGGUUCAUGAGGAUCCAGGUGGGGGAUGGCCCAUUAAGAGCUGGGGCCAGAUCCCAAGCUGGUGUGAAGAAGAAAUUCUGCUGUGAUAGUGCGGUGUGGUGAUAGGCCAGAGGCCACAGACAGAUGUGGGUAGAACCAGUUGAAGUAAUGGGAGGAUGCACAUGUCUCUGGAUUGGGCUAGCGUGCUCAGGAUCAAGACCUGACUGAGUACAUGGGAUUUAUUGUAACUGCCUCUGACCACCUUUGUGAAACUUACUUUCAUUCUCUUUGCUCUGAGAGCCUGGCAUCUCAUCUGCAUAGCACCAGCGUCAGUGUCCACUGUUCCUCCUUAUAUAUCAAAUAUUGCAAGUGUCCAGCUAAACUGCAACAGCUAUGUUGCCAUCCCCUCUCAGGUUUGCUUUAUCCACCCAUUGUGUCCUGCCAUUCACCAAGUAAGCGCUAUGGGACAAGGUCUGUAUAUACAGUAGUUAGCACUCUGGAGCCUUGACCAGAGAUUCUCAGUGCCACUGCUAUGAUCAAGAAUCAUAUAUGGAAGGCCCAGAGCUAGCAGGUUUAAAGGGAACAAGAAUGUGUCUGCUCCCCCACAGGAGAAAGGGGGAAAGCUAGCUUGAGUAAGCUUUACAUAAAUUAUCAGAUUGCACCAAGCAGCAUCAUAGAAAUGUCAGGCUGGAAUGGACCUCAAGAGGUCUUCUAGCCCACCCCCCUGCACUGAAGGAGGGUUAAGUACACCUAAUCCACCCCUAUGUCUUUGGGGUUGGGAGGAGGAUGGGCCUUCUCCCCCGCCUCCCCCCCAGCUAUUGUGCCACUUCCUGCAGUCACCCCUUCUCUCGGAGCAUCUUGCACUCUGCUCACAUACAUUCCUGGUAUAAAGGUCAACAUGCCUCAGUGACCCAGGUUAAAAGUGAGCUUUGUUUUCAUUGUGCCUUGAAGACUAAUGCUGUGGCCAUUCUGCAGAGGAACAGGGAGGAGGAAAUCCAAAGGAGGGUCAGAAACAGUGAGGAUGGCUUAGACCUGUUGAUUACAGACCAUAGAGCUGGACAGAAAGCCUGGGGAACUGACUGCAUUCCUCCUGCAUAGCUCUGCACCAUGGAUUCCCAAUCAGCAGCAGAUAGGCCUGUGCUGUUUCCUUGGCUGAUAAGCACCAUGUGUAUCCUUGUUUCCACUUUGUUGCACAAAGCCAGUGUGAUCUAAGGAUGCAUUUGGCUGCGGGCACAGCAAAAGACAGAGGGUGUAUGGAAAAGCAGCUAAGUAAUGCAUGCAGCACUAGGCGCAACUGUUAAAGGGGGACAUAUCCCAUCUCAGUUUCUUACCAUCUUGCUUAGGGGGCUGGAGGACUAUUGGAUUGUCACUCCUAGUCCUCUACCGUUUCUUUAACUUGGUUACA